AAUACUUCAGUUUAAGGUCACAUUAGAUAAGCCAUUCUUAAACAGUCAAAUCACAUACACACAAAAAUAAAAUAAAAUAAAUCAUGUGCACAGGAUAUCAUAGCAAGAAGGUGGUAUAACAAAGAAAAUCUAGAUAUGCUAAUGUGACCAAAAAAAAAGGUCAAAUGAUGGCAUGCUUGGAUCCAACUCAAGUCCUUCACCAAAUAAUACAUUAUACCAUGGAUCAGUGUUUAAAAAAGCGAUCGCUUCGUGGCUUUAAGCGAGAAGUGACGCGAAGCAAAGCUACAGGCCUUCGCUUUUCUGAAGUAGAGGAGACUCGACCAGCAGAAGCGAUCGCUUCAGGUGUUGAAGCGAGACGUGAUGCAGAAGCGAGAAGCGCAGAAGCAAUCGCUUCAGUAAACAAGGGUCAAUUUUUUAAAAAAAAAAAGAUUGGGUCAUUUUUAUUUUACAAAACAUAGACCCCAAAGUGAACUGAAGACAUUUCUUCUCUUCUUCCCUUCCAUCGACCUCACUGCUGCUUCUAGGGCAGCCUCUGGUCCUGGUAAUUUCUUCUUCUUCUUUUCUUGUUUCUUCUUUCUUCUUUUCUUAUCCAUUUUUCUUCUCCUUUUUUCUCUUUCUUUCUUUUUCUUCCGUGCAUCUGCUCACUGCUAGGGCAGACGCGUUUUUGUUUUCUUCUUUUUUUCCUUUUAUUCUUCUUAUUUA
rnacentral:lncRNA from 1 species